UGACCUCUCAUUUAUCCACCAGAGCGUGAAAUGGGAGGAUUCCCCGGAUGAUCAAAAUAAAGUUGUGGAGAAUAUGAAGGAUGAAACAGAGACACAUGAGAACAACAAGAACAGGACUGGAGGCAAGGCUAAACGUAAGUCCAGUGGCAGUGCCAAGAAGACUUCCGUGGAGGAGGACAGCAGCAUUGGUGCAGGUCCGAGAUUACUUCAUGUUGGGUGCAGGUUGUGUUCAAAUUCAUCAGCACUGAUCUGAGAAGAUAGUAUCUAUAUAGGUGAAAGCAAUAUAGUGGAGGCCCGCAGAGAGAUGUGCUUUUACCUGUCCAGUGCAAUCAAAUCACUAAAGGUGAAGGAAAUUAGAUAUAAAGUUCAGAUUCAACUUUAGAUUUCUCUUUGCGGAUUCCCAGAGUCUUCUCAGACACCCGGGUGUGGUUUCCGGGAAAGGGGAUCUAUCAUUGAGCAGCUGGAGAAGGAGGCUCAGAGGACUCUAAUGCCUUCUCUCAAGAUUGGGACAAGCUGUGCCCCAAUCCUCCUCUCCUUCCUAAGGAGUCUAACUGAUGAGCAAGUCCCAUGUCUUUCUCCAACCUCACAUACAACAACUCUGAAUUUAUAGUCAUAGUGCACCUUCUAACCACAAAUGCGAUUUCAAACACUACACCUAACCCUAACAUCACCGUAACCACACCCCUAACUCUUCCUGUAAAUCAAGAACAAAAUGGCUCAUGUACUUGCUAAUAGCUUAAUUAAAUACACUUUUAUUUUCCCUAACAUGGCUAUCUAGUGACUCCACUAACUCAACACCAGUGUGCAGCUAAAAUAUGUUUCCUUUCUUUUCUUUUCUCUAGCCAAUGGAGAGUGAUUCAGCAUGGC
rnacentral:lncRNA from 1 species